rnacentral:rRNA from 1 species
UACAGAGGGGGCAAGCGUUGUUCGGAAUUACUGGGCGUAAAGGGCGCGUAGGCGGCCUGCUAAGUCGAACGUGAAAUCCCCGAGCUCAACUCGGGAACUGCGUCCGAUACUGACAGGCUUGAAUCCGGGAGAGGGAUGCGGAAUUCCAGGUGUAGCGGUGAAAUGCGUAGAUAUCUGGAGGAAUACCGGUGGCGAAGGCGGCAUCCUGGACCGACAUUGACGCUGAUGAGCGAAAGCUAGGGGAGCAAACGGGG